GCGGGCAUGGCGAAACUGGUAGAACGCGCCGGAUUCAAAAUCUGGUGGCUUCAAGCCGUGCAGGUUCGAGUCCUGCUGCCCGCACCA
rnacentral:tRNA from 1 species